UACAAUCAAAACGAUGCGAUUCAUUCUACAUGCAUUACCAGCAUUACGACAUUUACGUAUGUAUAUGUAUUAUAACGUGUAAAUCGCAUGUGGAAUGAAUAACGUUGAUUGGAUUGUAAUUGUUGAAAAUGUAACUUCUUAUAAUUCUCGCACCGUACA